CAGCAGCCGCGGUAAUACCGGCAGCACGAGUGAUGACCGCUAUUAUUGGGCCUAAAGCGUCCGUAGCUGGCCACGCAAGUCCGUCGGGAAAUCCGCGCGCUUAACGCGCGGGCGUCCGGUGGAAACUGUGUGGCUUGGGACCGGAAGAUCCAGAGGGUACGUCCGGGGUAGGAGUGAAAUCCCGUAAUCCUGGACGGACCACCGGUGGCGAAAGCGCUCUGGAAAGACGGAUCCGACGGUGAGGGACGAAAGCUCGGGUCACGAACCGGAUUAGAUACCCCCGUAGUCCCUGUCUCUUAUA
rnacentral:rRNA from 1 species